UACGUAGGGUGCGAGCGUUGUCCGGAAUUACUGGGCGUAAAGAGCUCGUAGGUUGUUUGUCGCGUUGUUCGUGAAAACUCACAGCUUAACUGUGGGCGUGCGGGCGAUACGGGCAGACUGGAGUACUGCAGGGGAGACUGGAAUUCCUGGUGUAGCGGCGGAAUGCGCAGAUAUCAGGAGGAACACCGGUGGCGAAGGCGGGUCUCUGGGCAGUAACUGACGCUGAGGAGCGAAAGCGUGGGGAGCGAACAGG
rnacentral:rRNA from 1 species